rnacentral:rRNA from 1 species
AACGAACGCUGGCGGCAUGCCUAAUACAUGCAAGUCGAACGAGAUCUUCGGAUCUAGUGGCGCACGGGUGCGUAACGCGUGGGAAUCUGCCCUUGGGUUCGGAAUAACUUCUGGAAACGGAAGCUAAUACCGGAUGAUGACGUAAGUCCAAAGAUUUAUCGCCCAAGGAUGAGCCCGCGUAGGAUUAGCUAGUUGGUGGGGUAAAGGCCCACCAAGGCGACGAUCCUUAGCUGGUCUGAGAGGAUGAUCAGCCACACUGGGACUGAGACACGGCCCAGACGCCUCCGGGAGGCCGCAGUAGGGAAUAUUGGACACUGGGCGAAAGCCUGAUCCAGCAAUGCCGCGUGAGUGAUGAAGGCCUUAGGGUUGUAAAGCUCUUUUACCCGGGAUGAUAAUGACAGUACCGGGAGAAUAAGCUCCGGCUAACUCCGU